AAAAUCGAAAUUACAUGCUAGCAUCAGCUACUGGAGCGAUAGUCGAGAGCAAAUAAUUUUUUUUUUCUCUCAUUUUCCACAAAAACGCGUUUUUCCGACUAAUUACAAGCCGCCACGUCAUUAGAGACUAGUAUCAGAAAUAUCACUCCAGUGAUAAUUCUCAAGUCCAAAUCAGUUGCUUUGUCUAUUAAUUU
rnacentral:sRNA from 1 species